rnacentral:lncRNA from 1 species
CAACCUCUAACUGUUCCACAUCCCAUACCUCCUCCCCACCCCACCCCCUGUCCAACUGACCUCAAAACUUCCUGGGGCCUUCAGUCUCUUGAGGGUUAGGUGCAUCAUCUCUGAAUGAACACAGACCUGGAAGUCCUCUAAUGUAUAUGUGUUGAGGGCCUCAUAUCAGCUGGUGUAUGCUGCCUGUUUGGUGAUCCAGUAUUUGAGAGAUCUCGGGGGUCCAGAUUAAUUGAGACUGCUGGUCCUCCUACAGGUCCUCAACUUCUUUCAGCCUUUCCUAAUUCAACAACAGGGAUCAGCUGCUUCUGUCUGUUGGUUGGGUGUGAAUAUCUGCAUCUGGCUCUUUCAGCUGCUUGUUGGGUCUUCUGGAGUGUGGUCAUGCAAGGUCCCUCUUUUUGUGAGCACUCCAUAGCCUCAGUAAUAGUAUCAGACCCUGGGACAUCCCCUUGAGCUGGAUCCUACUUUGGGCCUAUUGCUGGACCUUCUUUUCUUAAGGCUCCUCUUCAGUUCCAUCCCUGUAAUUCUUUCAGACAGAAACAAGUAUGGGUCAGAGUUGUGACUGGGGAAUGGCCUCCCUCUCCCUCAUUUGAUGCUCUGUCUACUUGCUGGAGGUAGGCUCUAUAAGUUAUCUCUCCCUACUGUCGGGCAUUUCAUCUUACGUCCCUACACAUCAACUCUUAAUGUGGAAAAAGUCCAUGCUUCACAGCUCCACCUGUAAGGUCCUGCAGAUUUAGGAUUAUUAUUGCAUUGUGCUAAAUUGGGUCCUCCCAGCUCAAUGCAAGCCAUACAGAGAAUGCACCAUGGCCUUUGGUAAGGAGUCUCUCUGGUGUGUAGAGAGCACACAUUUUCCUGUGUCCUGUUCCUUUCUCCAUUCAUUAUCUUGUUCAAUCAACUGACAAAUGUACAUUGAGAAAAGAGGAUUGAAGUGAACCCUAUUGGGCUUCAGGGAUAUAAAAAGGAAGGAGACAUAGCCCAUUCACAGAAGCUGCACAGCCCAGGAGAGGUGAAGCAUCUCUUUGCCGCAAUUCUGUGGGCUUCCUUCAGUGACAUAAGGCGAUGUCUGCAGACAGGGGUAGAUUUCUGCUGUUAUCUAGUGGGUUGAUGCUGGGCUGCUACAGUUUACAUACCAGCCCCUUAUAACUAGGACUCUAUGUAGCCAAGACUUGAAAUUCAAUAAUGAAUGCUACUAGGUAAUUGUGGCUUGGAAGGUCUUUCUCCCUAUGUCCUGAUCUCUUCUUCAUUUCCAACUUCUUGACAAAAAAAAAAAAAAGGGAAAGUUUCACUUUAAGCUCUUUGGGCUCCUCCUAUGUGAUGCUACCUGCUCCUCCUGUCUGAUGUGGUCAGUAUGGUCUCUUUCUGGUCCUUGCCCACCCCCACCACUCUGCUGUCCCCCUGUGAGUCAGACCUCCACAACAGACACAGUCUGUCUACCCUCUGCAGCUGUCCCCUGCCCCUGAUCUUUGACCUUCUGUUAUGUUAUUCCUGUUCUCUCUGGGUUGGAAAUUCCCUAUCCCUGUUGCUAAAUGGUUAUGAGUCCUAUGGUUAAUCUCAGAUGGCUUGUGUUACAUGGAAGAUGGUUCUUAGGUAAAAAUCAGAAGAUAAAUUUACUUUUAUCAGUUUAGUUUUUUUCUUUUCUGUGGAACCUCCAGCCCGAGAUCUGAGUGUGUUUGGUGGAUCCCACCCAGACCAUGAUUUCCUCACUCCCAGGCAGCCCAUAAUAUAUAGGUCCUUAUAUACCUUUGGACUUUCCCUCCAUAAUGACAGGGUCCUUAUGCAACAUACCUUACCCAUAGUUAAGUAACUGAAAAACUCUUAAUUCACGACUCUCUCUAAAAUUUAGCUGACCAUUCCAAAUUCAUAUAAUAAUUCAAAUAGAUUUCAUGAUGUUUUGUUUGUAUUUAUAUGUUCCUAUACAUCUUUGUUUUCAUGUUCAUGUGCAUGCACACAUGGAUGGAGGCCAGAGGACAACCUUGAGUGACCCUCCCCAAGCACUAUUUACCUUCUGUUUUGAGACAAGGCCCCUCACUGACCCAAGAAUUAUCAAACAGGCUAUACUGGCUGGCCAAAGAGAUCCAGGACUCUCUCUAACUCUACACUUCCCUAGUGCAGGGGUUAUAGGCACAUUCCACCACUCCUAGCUUUCUUUCGGGAUUCUAAGAUCAAACUCAGGUACCUGAGCUACUGAGAUGUGUCUCCAGUGCAUAAUGCAACUUAAAACAUUAAUGAUAGUUGUUUGCAUAUGUGUGCAGAGGUCUGGCAGAAAGAUUAUCAGGGUCUUCUCUGGUAUGUCAAAUACACAGUGAAGAACUGCCCUUGGCCUUCAUAGGUACUUCCAAGGUGCUUUCUAAGGACACUGAGGCUUCCUUAGAAAAUUGUUUUAAUACCUUCCUGGCCAUUUGUAAAAAGAGGAUCUGGAAUUCAAGUUUUGAGUUAUUAGUAUUCACUGACACACCUUGAGGCCUUGAUAGGAAAAACAAAAAACAAAAAACAAAAAACACACAUUGUCCUGAUGGCAUCACAGAAUAAGGAGAAUGCUGACGUGUGAAAUGUAAGUUCUGAAAGCUUAUAAUGAUCACUGAGGUGAUAUUCUGGGCCUUUUACAAAGCUGCAGGUCCUUUCACACCCAGUUAACUGAAACAUCACAUGUUUUUCUCUGGAUGUGAAAAUGGAGAAAAGGCCUACUGACCUGUCACCAAAGAUCACGAGAUUUCUCUCCAUCAUCCACUCUUGUAUAGCAAUCCUUUUUGUGUAGCUGUAGUUAUGACUUUAUUAUCUGUCAUAAUAUAUGCUAGUCUCUAUAAAAUAAACACAGGUGCAUGCAAGUUUAUUCUGUCGUUGUUUAUAUAAAUAUCACAGAGACACUGAAAGUUUUAGCCAUGUUGCUAUUUGUAUAGAGACGCAUUGGCUGGAAGCUGGAGAGACUGCUCAGUAGUUAAGGACACUGGUUUGCUUUGGCUCAAUUCCCAGCACCCAUAUGGUGGCUCACAACCUUUUGUAACUCUAGAUCCAGGAGAUCCAAUGCCAUCUUCUCCCCUACACACACACACACACACACACACACACACACACACACACAGACGAUACACAGACACACAAGGGAACAAAACAUCCCUAGAAAUAAAACUAAAUUUAAAAUACUAACUAGAUUAACUGCCAUUAACUUCUGACCCAGAGGCACUGACCACCUGGAAUGUGUCCAGUGUAUUAACAAAAGAUCUUUUUUCUGAUUAUUGAAUUGCCUAUGUAGUUUUGGGACAGGAGCAGAGAGGGCUUCUUGGAAGGAAUGUUAACACAUUCCAAAGAGCUCAGAGCCUUCCCUGACUGGCAGGAGGCAAGACUUUCCUCUUUCUGAAGACCUUUCUUCACUAAGUCAAAUCUUAAUUCCCGAGGUCUCUGACCUCACAGCCUAAUACUGCAAAAUAAAGUAAAUGUGUGAUACUUGAACAUGUAUCACUUAAAACUCACUGUUGUACUUACAAAAUAGAUUAU